rnacentral:rRNA from 1 species
AGCGAACGCUGGCGGCAGGCCUAACACAUGCAAGUCGAACGAACCCUUCGGGGUUAGUGGCGGACGGGUGAGUAACACGUGGGAACAUGCCUUUAGGUUCGGAAUAACUCAGGGAAACUUGUGCUAAUACCGAAUGUGCCCUUCGGGGGAAAGAUUUAUCGCCUUUAGAGCGGCCCGCGUCUGAUUAGCUAGUUGGUGAGGUAGUGGCUCACCAAGGCUACGAUCAGUAGCUGGUCUGAGAGGAUGACCAGCCACAUUGGGACUGAGACACGGCCCAAACUCCUACGGGAGGCAGCAGUGGGGAAUCUUGCGCAAUGGGCGAAAGCCUGACGCAGCCAUGCCGCGUGGAUGAUGAAGGUCUUAGGAUUGUAAAAUCCUUUCACCGGUGAAGAUAAUGACUGUAGCCGGAGAAGAAGCCCCGGCUAACUUCGUGCCAGCCGCCGCUGUAAUAC